CCUACGGGAGGCUGCAGUGAGGAAUAUUGGUCAAUGGGCGGAAGCCUGAACCAGCCAAGCAGCGUGCAGGAUGACGGCCUUACGGGUUGUAAACUGUUUUUUUACGGAAAAUUCUCACCUUAUCUGAAGAGUAUUCCACGGCUCACUCCGUUCCAGCAGCCGCGGUAAUACGGCAGGUGCAAGCGUUACACGGAAUUACUGGGCGUAAAGGGAGCGUAGGCGGGGUAAUAAGUCUGAUGUGAAAUGCUGUAGCUUAACUACAGACGUGCAUUGGAAACUGGCGUGCUGGAGUGUGGGAGAGGUAGGUGGAAUUCGUGGUGUAGGGGUAAAAUGCGUAGAGAUGACGAGGAACACCGAUUGCGAAGGCGGCUUGCUGGAACGUAACUGACGCUGAUGCUCGAAAGCGUGGGGAGCGAACAGGAUUAGAUACCCUUGUAGUC
rnacentral:rRNA from 1 species